GGUGUAUAGCUCAAGUGGUAGAGCACGUGCAUGGCAUGUAUGAGGUCCUGGGUUCAAUCCCCAGCAACUCCA
rnacentral:tRNA from 1 species